CCUACGGGUGGCAGCAGUGGGGGAUAUUGCACAAUGGGGGGAACCCUGAUGCAGCGACGCCGCGUGGGUGAAGAAGCGCCUCGGCGCGUAAAGCCCUGUCAGCAGGGAAGAAAAUGACGGUACCUGAAGAAGAAGCCCCGGCUAACUACGUGCCAGCAGCCGCGGUAAUACGUAGGGGGCAAGCGUUAUCCGGAUUUACUGGGUGUAAGGGGGGCGCAGACGGCGAUGCAAGCCAGGGGUGAAAGCCCGGGGCCCAACCCCGGGACUGCUCUUGGAACUGCGUGGCUGGAGUGCAGGAGGGGAAGGCGGAAUUCCAGGGGGCGGGGGGAAAUGCGUAGAUAGAAGGAGGAACCCCGGUGGCGAAGGCGGCCUGCUGGACGGAAACUGACGUGGAGGCCCGAAAGCGUGGGGAGAAAACAGGAUUAGAGACCCUAGUAGUC
rnacentral:rRNA from 1 species